rnacentral:rRNA from 1 species
UGGGGGAUAUUGCACAAUGGGCGAAAGCCUGAUGCAGCGACGCCGCGUGGGGGAUGAAGGCCUUCGGGUUGUAAACUUCUUUUGCUCUGAACAAGGCAUGCUAAUGGGUGUGUUGAGUGUAGGGGUUGAUUAGCGCCGGCUAACUACGUGCCAGCAGCCGCGGUAAUACGUAGGGUGCGAGCGUUGUCCGGAAUUAUUGGGCGUAAAGGGCUUGUAGGUGGCUGGUUGCGUCUGUCGUGAAAGCUCAUGGCUUAACUGUGGGUUUGCGGUGGGUACGGGCUGGCUUGAGUGCAGUAGGGGAGGCUGGAAUUCCUGGUGUAGCGGUGGAAUGCGCAGAUAUCAGGAGGAAUACCGGUGGCGAAGGCGGGUCUCUGGGCUGUUACUGACACUGAGGAGCGAAAGCAUGGGGAGCGAACAGG